GCGUCGGUGGUAUAACGGUUAGCAUAGAGCUGCUUCCCAAGCAGUUGACUUAGGUGCGACUCCCGGCCGAUGUA